rnacentral:lncRNA from 1 species
GGCUGGAAGAAGUCUGGAAGAGAUUUGGAGAAUAGCCGAUCACUGUAGAGAAUCGGCUGAUAGUGAAGCUCAGAAAGCAUUUAGAGCAGCCCGAUAGUUGAAUGGAGAAGCUCAUUAUCAGAGAAGUCUGGAUGGCACGAUAGGAGUUCGUCCGUUGGAGGAAUCUGGAGGACACUGUGGAAGGCCGACUGCUGGGAGAGUCUAAAUGGUAUUGUGGAAGCUCAGACGGCCGAGAAGGUUCAGAAAGACGCCGCACAGGGUCGAAAGCUGG